GCAAAUCGAUUACACAAAAGCUCAUAGAACUUCGAGAACAACGAUUGCUCAAGAUACAAAAUCGAAAAAAUGUCGAAAAUAAUUUUAUUAUUAUCAAUUUUCGUAUUGAUUAGUCUCUACGCUGGUACAGAUGCAGGAUGUCCAGGCAAAUGGUGUCAUCCAUCCCAAGGUUAUGGCUGUUGUGAUGGAUAUACGUGCAGUUCGCAUUUUUGGCAAGGUGAUUGCAUAACUGACAGCGAGUCCUUCCGUCGAACAGUUCCAGGAAAAUAAUUAUAACAAUACAGUAAAAAUUUAAAGAUAUAUUUUUCCAAUCAAUAAAACUCUUAAUACACAAAAAAUUUUUUAAUUGAUUUUCAUUAAUUGACAAUUUUAUAUCUUCUUUAUCAACUCUAGGAGCUAUUAUUUUACACGGUGAAAAAAAUACAGUAAAAUUUACUGAAGAAAAUGAGAAUAAUUAUUAAAUUUAUAGAUAGUAACUUGAAACGCUUUUGAUUUAAAUGAAAAAUUCAUAAACAAAAGUGAAUUUUACUGUCCCGUUUAUUAAAUUUCACUAUCCCGUUUAGUAAAUUUUAUGCCAAGGCUCGACCUACAGUCAUCCUAGGCGAUUCCUACCUGGGGAGUAUCUAAAGGAGAAUUGUCCGAGCUUUCAGGAAGAGAUGAUUAAUGAAAAUAACUAUUUUCAGUAAAAAAAAAACGUUUUUUAAAAAACAUUUUUUAUUGCUAAACAG